GCUUGAAUCUGGGAGGCGGAGCUUGCAGUAAGCAAAGAUCGCACCACUGCACUCCAGCCUAGGCGACAGAGCUAGACUGCAGAAGAAAAAGAGAAAGAGAGGGGAGAAGAGGUCAAGUGUGGAAACAGCAAGAAGGCUGCUGUCUGCAAGCCAAGAAGAGAGCCCUCGCCAGAAACCAAAUUAUCCAGACCCUGGAUAUUGGAUUUCCAGCCUCCAGAAUGACAAUCUGUCUUUUUUCUAUUUAGAUACGGCUAAGACCGCAGGCAUGGUGGCAUGCAGCCGGUAGUCUCAGCUACUUGGAAGGCUGGAGCAGGAGGACCACUUGAACCCAGGAGAUCAAGACUGCACCCUUCCACAUCCAGAAUUAUAUUCUUGGGGAAAAAAGCAACACUCAGACAAAUGCUUGAAGAUAGGCUGGAGUACAAUGGCACAAUCAUGGCUCAUUGCAGCCUCAAACUCCCGGACUCAAGUGAUCGUCCCGCCUCAGUCUCCCAAGUAGCUGGGACUACAUGUGUGAGCCAUCUUGCCCAGACCAUAAGUGGACGAUUUUUUAAAGAAAGGUCUCCUUAUGCAGAAGCAAGCAAACAGCAAACCAGACUGACUUUAUUUUACACAAAGAAAAUCACAAUUAUGGCUAUAACCAGGUAAGCAUUGAGGCUGCAGUUGGAAAGCAACGUGGAAGUUGAACAUUGAGGAGGUGCUAAGGAGGCUGAGGAAGAGAGAGGUCAAUGUAAUCAUGUUGCAACCACCUAGGAAGAUGGCAGCAGCUGUGGAACAGAAGGUUGUAAGCAAGAUCCCAGGGUAAAGAUGGGCACUUAGGCCUUGGAGAUGACAGUGACAAGGGCUCACAAGCGCUGUUUUGCUCACUAAAAGCCCCAAAUGCAAACCUUCUGUUUCAACUAGAUUACUCCCAUGAAUCAGGUGAAGCAAAUUUCUAUUGGGGCACACUACUGGACAGGUUCAGGGCACGUACAGCAUUAUCUCCACUUCCCUUCGUGCUGGAAAUACAAAGGAGACCAAAACCCCCAGGAAUACAUUCACGUGCAACCUCCAUAGUCCUUGAAUUUAACAGAGUUGCUGCCUGUCACAUUGAGAAAGAGGAGAAUUCAGCAGGAAUAUGAGACUCUCAUAUUUCUAACAGGGCUGAUUUUUCUCUACUGUGUCCUGCUUGUACCCCAGGAUAUCCACUUUACCACCCUCAACCACCCAAGAAGAAAAACUAGCUUUUACUUUAACAAACCGAAGCUAAGCACUCAACAAAUAUUUGUUGAAUGAAUGAAUAAAUCAGAGCAUAGCUCAAGAGCAAAAACCUUUUCAAUCAAUAAUUUAAAAGCAAAGCUACAAAACAAUAUCCUCUCGUGCUUUAGUGUUUAAUGAACUCUCAACAUUGGUUGUUUCUUGGCAGCUGCAGAUUUCACAAGAAUGAGAUUAAAUGGCUUUUUACAUCCUGUAUUUGGAAAGAGAAUAGGAGGAUUUACAGGAAGUUAUGCUCAGUUCCAAUCCAGUUAAACAGGUAUAUAAUUCUCUUUUGUCUUUCUUCAGACAAUGAAAAUCCGCAAUCUAAGACCUGAAACUACUGCCACAGCCAUGCAUAAAAUGAAAUGCUGCUGCUUUCCUCUCUGUUAAAGAGAAUGUUCAAGGCCGAGGACACAUAAAAAAGAGCAGCAUUGCUGGCUCUGUUAUUUAGCUGUGUGUUCUUGAAAAAGUCACUUCUCCAGACAUAUCUCAGCAUUUAUAACCUAAGACUGAAUCACUGCAUUUUACCCUUAAUGAGGUACGCUUACACUAAUCUUUUUGAAACAGUACUUAAAUUGUAGCAGGACAAGCCGCAGACAAAACCCCUCAGCCAGCGAGUUUAAGAAAGAAGGGCUUUAUUCGGCCGGGAUCUUCGGCAAGACUCACGUCUCCAACAACCAAGCUCCCCAAGUGAGUAAUUCCUGUCCCUUUUAAGGGCUUACAACUCUAAGGAGGUCCGUGUGAGAGGGUCGUGAUUGACUGAGCAAGCGGGGGUACAUGACUGGGGGGCUGCAUGCACCGGUAAUUAGAACGGAACAGAACAGGACAGGGAUUUUCACAGUGCUUUUCUAUACAAUGUCUCUAAUCUACAGAUAACAUAACCGAUUAGGUCAGGGGUCGAUCUUUACCAGGCCCAGAGUGUGGUGCCGAGCUGUCUGCUUGUGGAUUUCAUUUCUGCCUUUUAGUUUUUACUUCUUCUUUGGAGGCAGAAAUUGGGCAUAAGACAAUAUGAGGGGUGGUCUCCCUCCCUUAAAAUCCUAAUGCUCUCCUCCAAAAAUGUAUAUCCACAUAUUUGCAUAUAAUUUCAUGGGAUUCAAAACCCCUGAAAUUUAUCCAGGAACCCCCAGAUUAGUAACACCUGGACUAGAUGUUGUCUAAGUCCUCUGAGCUCUGUAAUUGGUUCCACUGAUUUCUAAGUUUUGGGGUUUUUUUUUCUUUUUAAAGUAAAACCACUUUGAGUUAUGUUCAUGGUGCUUACACCAUGGUUUCCAUUCUAGAACCAACUAUAUUCUAAAAUUCCUGGUUGGAACAAAAGUUACUUAAGCAAGUAAAAGUGUGACAGUCUGGUAACAGAUUCUAAAUAAUCACCUUUUUAUGGUGAUAAGCUAAAAUUUAUUUUAAAAAGUGUAUUAAACAAGUAUUAAUACUUCUCAAACAGCAGUUGAGAUGUCCCUGGGGUAAGGAGACAGGGCACCAGGGACAUUCCAGAAGUAACAGAAUAUACAAAGCAUGAUUUUGAAAGUUUUAGCGGUUUUUAAUUUGUGGAUGAGGGUGUAACACUUUUGCAUUAAAAUAAACAGAUAUGUUGUGGAGUAAAAUGCAUAAAGGCACAUUUUUAAAGAUAAAAUGUGAAACUUACAAUGUCCUGCUUACUAAUACCUUGUCUCACGUCCAGAGGACACUUACUUCACACUCCUCUAAUCUUAGUGGUUCUCUGGUGGAAACUUACACAUUACAAAAAAAGUAAUCUAUUCUAAAUCCUAAAAUAAUUUGAUUUUUUGUAACACAAUGAAGAUAACUAGCACAAAGUAAAGAAAGAAUGACUUUUUUUUUGAGACAGUCUCACUCUUGCCCACGCUGGAGUGCAGUGGCGGGAUCUCGGCUCACUGCAAUCUCCACCUCCCUAAUUCAAGCGAUUCUCCCGCCUCACCCUCCCGAGUAGCUGGGACUAUAGGCGCCCACCACCACACCCAGCUAAUUUUUGUAUUUUUAGUAGAGACGGGGUUUCACCAUGUUGGCCAGGAUGGUCUCGAUCUCUUGAUCUCGUCAAAGUGCUGGGAUUACAGGCAUGCGUGAGCCACUGCGUCUGGCCAUUUUAUUUUAUUUUUUGAGACAGAGUCCUGACCUCAAGCAAUCCGCCUGCCUAGGCCUCGCAAAGUGCUGGGAUUACAGGAGUGAGCCACCGUGCCCAGCCAAGAAAGAUUUUGGAAGAGUGAAUGAAUACAAGGAUU
ensembl:lncRNA novel transcript, antisense to C6orf52